rnacentral:rRNA from 1 species
GAACGCUGGCGGCGUGCUUAACACAUGCAAGUCGAGCGGUAACAGGAGAAAGCUUGCUUUCUUGCUGACGAGCGGCGGACGGGUGAGUAAUGUAUGGGGAUCUGCCCGAUAGAGGGGGAUAACUACUGGAAACGGUGGCUAAUACCGCAUAAUGUCUACGGACCAAAGCAGGGGCUCUUCGGACCUUGCACUAUCGGAUGAACCCAUAUGGGAUUAGCUAGUAGGUGGGGUAAAGGCUCACCUAGGCGACGAUCUCUAGCUGGUCUGAGAGGAUGAUCAGCCACACUGGGACUGAGACACGGCCCAGACUCCUACGGGAGGCAGCAGUGGGGAAUAUUGCACAAUGGGCGCAAGCCUGAUGCAGCCAUGCCGCGUGUAUGAAGAAGGCCUUAGGGUUGUAAAGUACUUUCAGCGGGGAGGAAGGUGAUAAGGUUAAUACCCUUGUCAAUUGACGUACCCGCAGAAGAGCACC